AAUUCCAAGUGCUAGCAAUUUUUUGUUAGCUGUUUACAUGCCUAAAAAGCAUGUAGAGUAAGAGCUGGGUAAGACUGGUGCCAGCCGCCGCGGUAAUACCAGCAGCUCAAGUGGUGGUCAAUGUUAUUGGGCCUAAAGCGUCCGUAGCCGGUCUGGUAAACCCUUGGGUAAAUCGGGCAGCUUAACUGUUCGAAUUCUGAGGAGACUGCCAGACUUGGGACCGGGAGAGGUCAGAGGUACUCUUAGGGUAGGGGUGAAAUCCUGUAAUCCUAAGGGGACCACCAGUGGCGAAGGCGUCUAAUCAGAACGGGUCCGACGGUAAGGGACGAAGCCCUGGGGCACAAACCGGAUUAGAUACCCAGGUAGUCCAGGGUGUAAACGCUGCAGGCUUGGUGUUGGGGGUCCUACGAGGGCACUCAGUGCCGGAGAGAAGUUGUUAAGCCUGCCGCCUGGGGAGUACGUCCGCAAGGAUGAAACUUAAAGGAAUUGGCGGGGGAGCACCGCAACGGGUGGAGCGUGCGGUUUAAUUGGAUUCAACGCCGGAAAACUCACCGGGGGCGACUGUUACAUGAAGGCCAAGUUGAUGACUUUGCCUGAUUUUCAGAGAGGUGGUGCAUGGCCGCCGUCAGUUCGUACCGCAAGGCGUUCUGUUAAGUCAGAUAACGAACAAGGCCCCUACCUUUAAUUGCCAGGUUUCCCUCCGGGGGAACGGAACAUUAAAGGGACCGCUGGCGCUAAGUCAGAGGAAGGGAGGGGCAACGGUAGGUCAGUAUGCCCCGAAUCUCCCGGGCUACACGCGCGCUACAAAGGCUGGGACAAUGAGUUUCGAAACCGAAAGGUUAAGGUAAUCUCGAAACCCAGUUAUAGUUCGGAUUGAGGGCUGCAACUCGCCCUCAUGAAGCUGGAAUCCGUAGUAAUCGCGGAUCAACAUUCCGCGGUGAAUAUGCCCCUGCUCCUUGCACACACCGCCCGUCAAACCAUCUGAGUUGGGUUUGAGUAAGGCUGCCUCACCUUUGUGGUAUCG
rnacentral:rRNA from 1 species